UCCAGACUCCUACGGGAGGCAGCAGUGAGGAAUAUUGGUCAAUGGCCGAGAGGCUGAACCAGCCAAGUCGCGUGAGGGAAGAAUGUCCUAUGGAUUGUAAACCUCUUUUGUCAGGGAGCAAAGUCACCCACGUGUGGGUGUUGGAGAGUACCUGAAGAAAAAGCAUCGGCUAACUCCGUGCCAGCAGCCGCGGUAAUACGGAGGAUGCGAGCGCUAUCCGGAUUUAUUGGGUUUAAAGGGUGCGCAGGCGGAGGUGCAAGUCAGUGGUCAAAUUGCGGGGCUCAACCCCGUACUGCCGUUGAAACUGUCGGACUAGAGACGGCGAGAAGUACGCGGAAUGCGCGGUGUAGCGGUGAAAUGCAUAGAUAUCGCGCAGAACUCCGAUUGCGAAGGCAGCGUACCGGCGCCGGACUGACGCUGAGGCACGAAAGCGUGGGUAUCGAACAGGAUUAGAUACCCCAGUAAG
rnacentral:rRNA from 1 species